rnacentral:rRNA from 1 species
ACGGAGUGCUUCGGCACUUAGUGGCGGACGGGUGAGUAACGCGUGAGAAUCUGCCAAAAGGACUGGGACAACAGCUGGAAACGGCUGCUAAUACCGGAUAUGCCAGAAAGUGAAAUGGGUAAAACCGCCUUUUGAUGAGCUCGCGUCCGAUUAGCUAGUUGGUGGGGUAAAAGCCUACCAAGGCGACGAUCGGUAACUGGUCUGAGAGGAUGACCAGUCACACUGGGACUGAGACACGGCCCAGACUCCUACGGGAGGCAGCAGUGGGGAAUUUUCCGCAAUGGGCGAAAGCCUGACGGAGCAAUACCGCGUGAGGGAGGAAGGCUCUUGGGUUGUAAACCUCUUUUCUCAGGGAAGAACACAAUGACGGUACCUGAGGAAUCAGCAUCGGCUAACUCCGUGCCAGCAGCCGCGGUAAUACGGAGGAUGCAAGCGUUAUCCGGAAUGAUUGGGCGUAAAGCGUCCGCAGGUGGCUUUGCAAGUCUGCUGUCAAAGCUCAGGGCUUAACCCUGAAUCGGCGGUGGAAACUGAAAGGCUAGAGUGUGGUAGGGGCAGAGGGAAUUCCCAGUGUAGCGGUGAAAUGCGUAGAGAUUGGGAAGAACACCAGUGGCGAAAGCGCUCUGCUAGACCGCAACUGACACUCAUGGACGAAAGCUAGGGGAGCGAAUGGGAUUAGAUACCCCAGUAGUCCUAGCCGUAAACGAUGGAUACUAG